rnacentral:lncRNA from 1 species
CACUUUUCAUCCAUUAAUUGUACCUUCUGUAAAUCACAACCCUACUUUGUUCUCAAAAUAGUAUUUUUGUGCUCUAUUUUCUUUUCAUAUUUUAUUGUACCACUAACUAAAUUACUGAAUUCUCAUUUUGUGACUUUGGUCAUGUUUUUCAGAUAUCUUGUUAUGGCGAAAAGAAGAUGUGUGCUUUCAAAGAAGGUUACUGAUGAGCUUUCUUUGUAUUUUUCUUUUUUGGGGGCUCAUUUGUAUCGGUUGCACACUUACCUUUAGUUUAUUUGUUCCAUGUCUUUGCUUUAGAGUAUGGUGCAUGGUAAUUUUAAUUCUUCUAUAAUGCAUGUUGCGAGCUGUGUUCACACCUGCCAUGUACUUCUCAAUUCUUUGUUGCUUGUAUUUGUUUUGCUGGGAAUUUAAUAUUAAAUCUCUGUUCAAAUGUCUUACACGGCCAUGUGACAACUUCAAAACGUUUAGGUUUUAGCUUACCUUAUCCAUCUACAACUGUUAUGGCUAUGCCAAUAUUUUUGGCCGUGAGUGUUCACCUGCUCUGACUACUCGGUCGAGAAGCUUAAGAGGUGCAUAAUUAUAUUUGUUGUGUCACUGUCUAGAUUUGCACAAUUCAAUUAUCGUUAUGUUAGAUUGUUUAGUAAGUGGUGUUCCUAUUAAUUUUUUUAUUGACUGUGGUUUGUAAUUUUCAAAUAAGAAAUCAAUAAAAAGAAAGAUGUGUGUUGUUGUUGUUGACACUGUUGGCUAUUCCAAUCUCAUAGGUGGGCUGCGUGAUCUGGGUUGCCGUUACAUGAUGCGCUAGCACUUGUUGCGAAAUUUGGACUCCGAGGUAUUUUUCUCACAAUGACUUGUAAUCUAAAGUAAGUGGAGAUUCGAAGUGAAUCAUUUCCU